AUUGAACGCUGGCGGCAUGCCUAACACAUGCAAGUCGAACGGUAACAGGCCCUUCGGGGCGCUGACGAGUGGCGGACGGGUGAGUAAUGCUUAGGAAUCUGCCUAGUAGUGGGGGAUAACCCGGGGAAACUCGGGCUAAUACCGGCAUACGUCCUACGGGAGAAAGCGGGGGACCUUCGGGCCUCGCGCUAUUAGAUGAGCCUAAGUCCGAUUAGCUA
rnacentral:rRNA from 1 species